CUCUCUGAAGGGUUCAGAACGGGGAUCUGAUAAGCACCAGCUCUGGGGUUCCACAGCUGUCUUAGCCCUUAACACAGACACCCCCUCCAGGGGCAAGAGGCAUUCCAGCGGGACUAUUAGCCAAGUGGCAGUGCCUACAGCCCUCCAACGGACACCAAAAUCUAGUGCAGGGGACUCCUAACAGUGGGCCCUGAGGCCAGUGAUGGGCAACCUGCAGGACGGAGGACAAGAUGGCUCCAACUCCAACAAAGCUAAGAAGCCUAACUCUUCUCCUGUCCACCUCUCCAGUGCCACCCUCUCCCUUACCAUGCUGCUGAAUCUUGCCCCUUCCCCUAAAGAAUUGCAGGAGACUGGGCAAGGAUCUGGUGCCACCCUCUCCCAGGGGGGGCCAAGACUUGGAUGCAUCUGACCCAAGGCUAAGCACAGAGGCUGAGCUGGAGGUUUUUUACAGCAAUUUGACACACGGGCCCAGGGUAACCCCUGGGAAAAGAAAGUCCUGGGUCUAAAAGAAAUCAAAGUGAGCAAAUCAUGGGAGCAGCAAGUCAGCAAGCAGCAAGCCAGCAAACAGAACUUCCAUGGCCUCUGCACCAGCCCAGCAAGCAGACUUUCCACAGCCUCUGCACCAGCUCCUGCCUCCAGGUUCCCACCCAGUUUGAGUUCCUGCCUUGGCUUCCUUUAAAGGACUGUGAUUCAGGAUAUUCGAGCCAAAUAAACCCUUCUCUCCCCAAG
rnacentral:lncRNA from 1 species